rnacentral:rRNA from 1 species
CCUACGGGUGGCUGCAGUGAGGAAUAUUGGUCAAUGGGAGAGAUCCUGAACCAGCCAAGUCGCGUGAGGGAAGACGGCCCUACGGGUUGUAAACCUCUUUUGUCGGGGAGCAAAGCGAGUCACGUGUGACUCAUUGAGAGUACCCGAAGAAAAAGCAUCGGCUAACUCCGUGCCAGCAGCCGCGGUAAUACGGAGGAUGCGAGCGUUAUCCGGAUUUAUUGGGUUUAAAGGGUGCGCAGGCGGCCUGUUAAGUCAGCGGUAAAAGCCCGGGGCUCAACCCCGGCGAGCCGUUGAAACUGGCGGGCUGGAGUUGGAGAGAAGUACGCGGAAUGCGCGGUGUAGCGGUGAAAUGCUUAGAUAUCGCGCAGAACCCCGAUUGCGAAGGCAGCGUACCGGCUCCACACUGACGCUGAGGCACGAAAGCGUGGGUAUCGAACAGGAUUAGAUACCCCAGUAGUC